rnacentral:lncRNA from 10 species
CUAAAUCCAAAUGAAGAAGAUUCAAAUUCUAGAAUCAUUUAGCAGGACAUUUUACCUAGAAAUAGAAGGAAAAAUAUCAUCCCUACGACUUUGUAUGACUUUGGUGCGGUGGCUCACAUCUGUAAUCCCAGCACUUUGGGAGGCUGAGGCAGGCGGAUCACGAGGUCAAGAGAUCGAGACCAUCCUGACCAACAUGGUGAAACCCCGUCUCUACCAAAAAUACAAAAAUUAGCUAGGCAUGGUGGUGCACACCUGUAGACCUAGCUACUUGGGAGGCUGAGGCAGGAGAAUCUCUUGAACCCAGGAGGUGGAAGUUGCAGUGAGCCCAGAUUGCGCCACUGCACUUCAGCCAGGCGACAGAGCGAGACUCCAUCUCAAAAAAAAAAAAAAGAAUACUUCUUUCCUUUGGUAGGGGGAUUGACUGGACAGAGGCAAAAGGGAACUUUUUAGCAUGAUGAAAAUAUUCUACAUCUUGGUCUGAGCAUUUACUGGGUGAAUAAAUUAAGAUUUUUACAUUUACUGUACUUAAUUAUACCUCUAUAAAGUUCUGUUAGCACUAAAAAAAGAGCAUGUAAAAUAUGAAAUGGCUGAACAUUGGAGUAACUCGAAGAGUAUUAAUUAUAUUAUAUUCAAGCUUUGCUUUCAGUAAAUAUUUGGUGCCAUGGGAAAUGCUUAUGCUAUAAUCUUAAGUGGG